UAAAAAUAAGCAAUUGCAUUUUUGUGGUUACAUGCCAAUGAGCAUGUGCAAAAAGCAAGGCAAAAAUAAAUUCUAUUCUCACUCUCUCAGUAACAGCUAAAGACACACGUGUAUAUCUAAAGUCAUAAACUAGAACAAGCUAAUAAUUAGCAGCUUGACGCUCACUGGCUCUUACGUUUUGAAUAAACUCAAUGGUCCCUUUGACAUCAUCGCUGCUGGCCAGGAUACAGACUGCCCUAGCAACAGGGGGCGACGUCUCAAAUUUAGCUUUGUCUACUGCCAUGACUUGAAGCAGAACCUAUAAGAUAUCCAACAGCAAGAAAGCAAGGGCUGGUUGUAUAAUAGACCGAGGGUUUAAAACUGCAGUUUGUUGCAAUUUGUUUGAGGGUUUAAAACAAAGUUAAAACUACAUGUGUAAUGCACGCGAUAUUGCAGGUUUAGACUUUACAUAUGAAAUUGUUGAAAUUGUCACACUGACCAGCUGUCAAAAAUGUUAGAGAAAUACGGAGCAGUAACUUCAAUUGAUUUUAUUGUUGCUCGUGGGUGUGCCUAUGUUGUCAUGGAAACUCGUGAGGCUGCGGCUAAAGUAGUAGAUCAACUGAGAGACCCAAAACUCCUCGGACAGAAAUGCAAAGUACGAGAGAGAGAGAGAGAUUGUAUCAGCACAUGUGUUUUGUUAUGCAUCAGAAAAUGUAACAGAUUUUUUGAAUUGCCUGAAUCAUCCUUACCUACAUAUACAGUCAAGGGCGUAGCUAGCAUAAGGCUAGGGUAGGCUAUAGCCUACCCUAAAGUUCAGAAGUCAGAAUUGAAGUUUAGUAGUUUACCUAUAUUGAGUUUCUGCCUUAGUCACCUAUGACCAAAGAUUAUAAAAGUUUAGGGUAGUUGUCUCAACUGGCAGUUACUCACUCAGUCACUUUUGACACAGGCAAACAGAGACA